rnacentral:lncRNA from 1 species
CUGAUUAUUGUUUGCUCUUUUCCUUGGACCAUUCUAUGAACAACUAUCAUAAUUUCCACCUCAGUGGGCCCAGACAUGACAAUACCUAUAAACUUAUCAAGAAGAAGUGUUGCCAUCCUGGUGAAGGCUUUCAAGGGUAAUACACACCAACUGCGCUAUUCCAGCAGAUGAAAAGAAUGAGACUAUUGGAAGUUACAUGAAAGGCAAGCAAGUUCUCCUUUGGAAAAAGAAUUUGAAACCAUCCCUCCUCAUUCCAAGUCCAGUUUACCUACGACAUACCGCAAAAUGAAAUCUAGACCAAGGCAGUAUGGUAAAGUGAAUAGAACCCUGAACUUGGAAUCAGGAAGAUAUAUAUUCAUAUCUUUUUAAAGACACAAUAUCUGUGUGAAUCAGAACUUACAGAGUUGUUACUUAACAAUGGGCUUCAGUUUCUUCAUCUGUAGGAGGAUGGGAUUGGACUCAAUAUUAAAAGGUCCUUAUGUCUCUAAAUCCAUGA